rnacentral:rRNA from 1 species
UUGAACGCUGGCGGCAGGCCUAACACAUGCAAGUCGAGCGGUAGCACAGAGAGCUUGCUCUCGGGUGACGAGCGGCGGACGGGUGAGUAAUGUCUGGGAAACUGCCUGAUGGAGGGGGAUAACUACUGGAAACGGUAGCUAAUACCGCAUAAUGUCGCAAGACCAAAGUGGGGGACCUUCGGGCCUCAUGCCAUCAGAUGUGCCCAGAUGGGAUUAGCUAGUAGGUGGGGUAACGGCUCACCUAGGCGACGAUCCCUAGCUGGUCUGAGAGGAUGACCAGCCACACUGGAACUGAGACACGGUCCAGACUCCUACGGGAGGCAGCAGUGGGGAAUAUUGCACAAUGGGCGCAAGCCUGAUGCAGCCAUGCCGCGUGUGUGAAGAAGGCCUUCGGGUUGUAAAGCACUUUCAGCGGGGAGGAAGGCGUUAAGGUUAAUAACCUUGGCGAUUGACGUUACCCGCAGAAGAAGCACCGGCUAACUCCGUGCCAGCAGCCGCGGUAAUACGGAGGGUGCAAGCGUUAAUCGGAAUUACUGGGCGUAAAGCGCACGCAGGCGGUCUGUCAAGUCGGAUGUGAAAUCCCCGGGCUCAACCUGGGAACUGCAUUCGAAACUGGCAGGCUAGAGUCUUGUAGAGGGGGGUAGAAUUCCAGGUGUAGCGGUGAAAUGCGUAGAGAUCUGGAGGAAUACCGGUGGCGAAGGCGGCCCCCUGGACAAAGACUGACGCUCAGGUGCGAAAGCGUGGGGAGCAAACAGGAUUAGAUACCCUGGUAGUCCACGCCGUAAACGAUGUCGAUUUGGAGGUUGUGCCCUUGAGGCGUGGCUUCCGGAGCUAACGCGUUUAAUCGACCGCCUGGGGAGUACGGCCGCAAGGUUAAAACUCAAAUGAAUUGACGGGGGCCCGCACAAGCGGUGGAGCAUGUGGUUUAAUUCGAUGCAACGCGAAGAACCUUACCUGGUCUUGACAUCCACAGAACUUUCCAGAGAUGGAUUGGUGCCUUCGGGAACUGUGAGACAGGUGCUGCAUGGCUGUCGUCAGCUCGUGUUGUGAAAUGUUGGGUUAAGUCCCGCAACGAGCGCAACCCUUAUCCUUUGUUGCCAGCGGUCCGGCCGGGAACUCAAAGGAGACUGCCAGUGAUAAACUGGAGGAAGGUGGGGAUGACGUCAAGUCAUCAUGGCCCUUACGACCAGGGCUACACACGUGCUACAAUGGCAUAUACAAAGAGAAGCGACCUCGCGAGAGCAAGCGGACCUCAUAAAGUAUGUCGUAGUCCGGAUUGGAGUCUGCAACUCGACUCCAUGAAGUCGGAAUCGCUAGUAAUCGUAGAUCAGAAUGCUACGGUGAAUACGUUCCCGGGCCUUGUACACACCGCCCGUCACACCAUGGGAGUGGGUUGCAAAAGAAGUAGGUAGCUUAACCUUCGGGAGGGCGCUUACCACUUUGUGAUUCAUGACUGGGGUG